AAGUAAACAAAAAGGGGCGCUAGCAAGGAAAAGAGGUUAUUAAAGUAGAAAGAGGUGAUCACGGGGGAAGCAACAUAACUUUUCCUUGAGAUUUGAUUGUUAUUCUCACAACAAAUUGACGGCUAAUAAACUGAUAUUUGCCUGUGUAAACGGGGUUGUUUGGCACCUGGAACACUUUUCGGCAAAAAAAAACUGCAAAUCGUGAAUAUCGUCAGCACCUAGAACUACUGCAAUGUUUGCUGACUGCAGUUGUAGACAGUAUUGCCGCGGCGGUCAGAAGAAAUGAAUCACCGAAAUUCCCUAAAAUUAACCAAAAGUAUCAUGAAAAAAAAAUUUUAAGUAUCAAAGUAUCAAUCUUAUAUAAAACUUCUACUCCUUAAAUGAAAAUGAUAGCUGGUAUUUUUAAUUGAGAUCGUUGACAGUUUUUAUUAAUUCAACAUUUUUUAUUGAGCUUGAGGCCGUUUUUAAUGAAAAACUUAUUGUGGAAAAGCAACAAUAAUUUGAAAAAAUGAUAGAAUUGAUAGCUACUCAGCCAGCUGCCUACGCACUGUGCUAAGUUCGCCUUGUACA